rnacentral:rRNA from 1 species
AAUUAGCCUCUUAAUUGGGGGAUAGUAUGAAUGGUAAUAUUGACCAGAUCUUAAUUUUUAUAUUGUGAAUUUUGAGUAAAGGUGAAAAUUCCUUUAUAAUAAUCUUAGACAAAAAGACCCUAUGAAGCUUACAAUGAAUAUAUAACAAAUUAAUUAAGAAUUGUUUCUUUGGGGAAAAGGUUAACGAUUGUAUUUUUAGAGUGUAAGAUCCUGAGAAGAACUACGAAAAAGCUCCCCUAGGGAUAACAGCGCCAUUUUAUUUUAAAGCCCACAUUAAAAA